GGCAGAUCAUGGGACAUCUUGGCCUCCAUAGUCAUACAAGCCAAUUCCUCAUGAUAAAUCUCCUUUUGUAUUUAUAUAUAUGCAUAUCUUAUUGGUUCCAUUUCUCUGGAGACUCCUGACUAAUACAGGGAAUUAACAGGAGUUCCUCAGCUGCCCCGCAGGUGCAGAGGCUACAUGUGGCUGCUGGUCACUGCCUUGGCCGGAGCACCUCCCUCAGUGCAGAAGCUCUAUGAGCCAGUGGCCACGGAGAGGCUCUGCUGCCCCAAGGUCGGGGGGACAGGAGACAUCAUUUUGUGGCAAGUGCUUUGGCACUGUGCCUGAGGAAGAUCACCAGGGCCAGGCGACCAACCCAGACAGUGACUGAGCCAUGAUGAAUCAGCCUGGUGAGCCAACAUUUGCCACAAAGCCUGAGCCACCCAACUUGAGGUCACCCGGAAAAGCCAAGGCAAUGAAGACAGUGACAGGGGCUGGGAAGCAGGACUCAAAGAAAUGAGACUUGAGAAGACCAUCACCACGCAAGCAGUUAGGUAUUCUUUUAAAAAUUAGUAAAUAAAAGAAGAAACUAUAACUGCGAGACCAGCGCAUACUGGGCCUACCUUGUUGAUGACAGAAUGUCGCAUUGCUUUGUAGGUACAACAGAGCCAAAACUGCAAGCCAUGUUGCCCAGGCAUGCACAAUGGAACAAGCUUUGACCUCUAACAAUACCCAGAACCAAUGACUCCUCCCCUCGGAACAAAGAAGACCAGGACAGGACUGGAACCUGAACAUGGAAAUCUUUCAGAAGCAGGGAUGCGUCAGCCUGGGAGACUGGGGCCCAAAUCUACCUUGACAAACCUUUCCAUAAAUCGUUAAAUUUGAAGCCCGCCAAUCAGACCCUGCCAAGCCAACACUGCUCAAUCACUUCCCUUGCCCUCUGAUCCCUUAAAGCUUACCCCAGACCUCAAACUGGGGAGACAGAUUUGAGCCCCACUCCUGCCUCCUUGCUUGUCAGUUUUGCAAUGAAACCUUUCUUUUCUCAAAAGCUGCUGCCAGUGUUACUGGUUUCGCUGUGCCUUGAGCAGUGAGCCCAUUUGUUUGAUAACAAAACUCCUCAAGGCAUUGGCAAUGUCACCAGUCAGUGACAGGGCUGUGUGGGCCCUGAGGACUGACCUGGAGGAAGGGGAUGCUUGGGAGAGGGAGGGGAAGGAGCAGUAGACAGAGGUCCACCCAGCAGAGAGCCCAGGCUCAGCAAAGCCACAGAAGAAGGGAGUCUCCAAACUGCUAGGUCCAGAGGGACCCCACAGAGCAUCGGGGAGAGCCACAGGGGCGUAAGGCAGGGCCUAGAAGGCUGGGUGGCAGGCAGGGAAUUAGAAUUUAAUCUGUAGGAAAUAAGGAGCCACUGAAGAAUAGUAGAUAAAGAGGACAUUACUAGAUUUCAGUUUUGAAAGGGGGCACUGGUGGGCCUGGUGCGGUAGCUCAUGCCUGUAAUCCCAGCACUUUGGGAGGCUGAGGUGGGCGGAUCACUUGAGCUCUGAAGUUGGAGACCACCUGCACCAUCUGUGGAAACCCCGUCUACAGGCAGGCGCCUGUAAUCUCAGCUACUCCAGAGGCUGAGGUGGGAGAAUCGCUUGAACCCGGGAGGCGGAGUUUGCAGUGAGCCAAGAUCGCACCAUUGCAUUCCAGCCUGGGCAGCAGAGCAAGAUCCUGUCUCAAAAAUGAGGGGGUGGUUGGCGCUAGCUGACCCGCCACACUGAAGGAAGGGAGAAUGUAGUUCAGGUUGCGGCCCGGCAGGGGACAAGUAAACCCAGCUGAACAGAGAGGGCCAUGACAGACAGGGAAGGGAGGCAGACGCCACUCUGGAAAGCCCUCAAAAGAAGCGUGGAUAACACUUGCUGGGCUCUGGGAGAAAAUAUAAUUUCCUGCAAGUGGGAGAGGAUUUGGUGCGAAGGGUGCUGCUUCCUCAGGUCAAGGUGAAAGACCUCGGCAGAAGAAAAGGCUGGCUGUGGCCCCUUCCCCUUGGGGAGGUGGGAGCUGGGACCUGCCUGACCUUAUGCUAAAGUCCAACAAUACUGGAAGGGAGGACGCGGGCAUCUGAAGAGCCCCUGCCCAGGAUGUGCAGAUGCGGUGGCUGCGAGAGCUGAGGCCAGGCCCUGCCUGGUGCUGACACGGUGAAAUCUAAAGCUCCUGAAAAGCCAGGCUUCUCCCCGUGGGGACAAGGCCAUCGAGUACCACAGAGAAAUAGGGUUUCAGAACAAGAAAUUAAA
rnacentral:lncRNA from 10 species